rnacentral:lncRNA from 1 species
UGCACGCCGAAGCGGUGUUUUCAGAAGGAGUUAACAACUGUCUUUUUUCUUUGUCUCAUGUUCAGCCACGCUUUUCGAAACCGGGAGAAGGUUCAUUGUAGGCACGUGUGGGUACAGGGGAAUGCGGUGGCAUCGCGACUCCGACGCAUGCUGCCGGGAUGAGGGAAUAUUGUGCGCAGGCAAAACAGACACAACGUUUGUGCAGGAAGACCGGUGAAUCUUUGGGAUGUGGCCGAAGGGACCAGAGGUGAACUUGUUUGAACAAACACGCGGCUUCGCUUUCGGCGGUCCUGCCGAAAAAAACGUGACCGCGGUUGCCUUCCUCCCCUCUGGGGCAAUACGCCCCACGCUCUUGAGCUAGUAAGUGAAAGUUGCUCGGGUCUGAUUGGCUGUCAAUUUCUCCGUUGUUCAAAUCAUUUCCCUUCCAAUCCCGUGCUCAAGUGUAGGGAAAUCCUUCCGGUGGAAAAGAGUUCGGAUGGUGCCAAUCAUGUCCUCGGUUUUGCGUUGUAGACCUGUCGCGGAUUUCCGUCACUUCAGCACAAACUUCCUGUCCAGUUCAGUACCCCUGUUGUUAUUUGGAGGGCUGUGAGUGUCUCUUCGGCGUUCCGUAAGGAUGAUAACUCGCGACGGGCGAUCAGACGGCGCGGAAGAGGGAAGCAAUUCUCUCCUCUUGCACGACUGUUGAGUGUCGCGAAUUGUGUACAUACUGUCUGAUCCAACGCGAGAGAGACGCUCCAGUCUUUAACCAUCGUUUCAUAAAGGCAGUCGAGGCCCAUAUCGUAGCUGGUUCUUCUGUUAUUGUGCGUCCGUGUACGGGAAUUUCGUAUCACAUCGCGACAGUGGUACUAUGCGGCCUUGAGUCUGUGUGUGGGCAUUGUGCCUUGCACACGCACGGUUUUUUUUUUCGACGUGCAUGUGUAGAGACAGUUGCUCUUCGAAGGGUGCCGAAAAGCCCCCGGUUUCUGGAUGAUGACCUCUUUUUGGAACUAGAGUCGAUGAGCAAAAAGCGCUUUGAUUACAAGUUUCUCUUGGCUGUCUGAAGAGACGAAGAGCGGUCUUCCGUGGCGUGCGUAUAUCACUCUCUUGUUUGCGCAUCAUUCGUCGCGGUAAUUCAUUCGUGCGAACUAGACGGAAGGCUGAUCCUAUUUCCACAGGAUGACCUCUUUUGGAACUAGAGUCGAUGAGCUCAAAACGCAUUGAUUACAAGUUUCUCUUGGCUGUCUGAAGGAAAAUCGAGAAGCCUCCUUCGUCGCUGAUUGUCUCCGUUCCAUCCUCUCUAGGUUUGUCAUUUUCAUUUCAUUGUCCCCGAGAUCCUUCGCAUGGCUUCCC